rnacentral:rRNA from 1 species
GCGACCCCAGGUCAGGCGGGACUACCCGCUGAAUUUAAGCAUAUAAAUAAGCGGAGGAGAAGAAACUUACAAGGAUUCCCCUAGUAACGGCG